UACGAAGGGGGGCUAGCGUUGUUUGGAUUUACUGGGCGUAAAGCGCGUGUAGGCGGGCCGUUAAGUUGGGGGGUGAAAGCCCCGAGGCUCAACCCUCGGAACUGCCCUUCAAAAACUGGCGGCCUGGAGCAGAUGAGAGGCGAGUGGAAUUCCGAGUGUAGAGGUGAAAUUCGUAGAUAUUCGGAGGAACACCGGUGGCGAAGGCGGGUCUCUGGGCAGUAACUGACGCUGAGGAGCGAAGGCGUGGGGGAGCAAACAGG
rnacentral:rRNA from 1 species